rnacentral:rRNA from 1 species
GACGAACGCUGGCGGCGUGCUUAACACAUGCAAGUCGAACGGAAAGGCCCUGCUUUUGCGGGGUGCUCGAGUGGCGAACGGGUGAGUAACACGUGAGUAACCCGCCCCUGACUUUGGGAUAACUUCAGGAAACUGGGGCUAAUACCGGAUAGGAGCUCCUGCUGCAUGGUGGGGGUUGGAAAGUUUCGGCGGUUGGGGAUGGACUCGCGGCUUAUCCGCUUGUUGGUGGGGUAGUGGCUUACCAAGGCUUUGACGGGUAGGCGGCCUGGGAGGGUGACCGGCCACAUUGGGACUGAGGGACGGCCCAGACUCGUACGGGAGGCAACAGUGGGGAGUAUUGCGCAGUGAGCGGAAGCCUGAUGCGACGACGCCGCGUGCGGGAUGACGGCCUUCGAGUGGUGAACCGCUUUCGCCUGUGACGAAGCGUGAGUGACGGUAAUGGGUAAAAAAGCACCGGCUAACUACGUG